rnacentral:tRNA from 1 species
UGGGACAUAAUUCAGUUGGUAGAAUGCUUGCCUAACAUGCAUGAAGCCCUGGUUUUGAUCACUAGCAUCUUAU